rnacentral:rRNA from 1 species
AUGCAGUCGAGCGGAUGAGUGGAGCUUGCUCCAUGAUUCAGCGGCGGACGGGUGAGUAAUGCCUAGGAAUCUGCCCGGUAGUGGGGGAUAACGUUCCGAAAGGAACGCUAAUACCGCAUACGUCCUACGGGAGAAAGCAGGGGACCUUCGGGCCUUGCGCUAUCGGAUGAGCCUAGGUCGGAUUAGCUAGUUGGUGAGGUAAUGGCUCACCAAGGCGACGAUCCGUAACUGGUCUGAGAGGAUGAUCAGUCACACUGGAACUGAGACACGGUCCAGACUCCUACGGGAGGCAGCAGUGGGGAAUAUUGGACAAUGGGCGAAAGCCUGAUCCAGCCAUGCCGCGUGUGUGAAGAAGGUCUUCGGAUUGUAAAGCACUUUAAGUUGGGAGGAAGGGUUGUACGUUAAUACCGUGCAAUUUUGACGUUACCGACAGAAUAAGCACCGGCUAACUUCGUGCCAGCAGCCGCGGUAAUACGAAGGGUGCAAGCGUUAAUCGGAAUUACUGGGCGUAAAGCGCGCGUAGGUGGUUCGUUAAGUUGGAUGUGAAAGCCCCGGGCUCAACCUGGGAACUGCAUCCAAAACUGGCGAGCUAGAGUACGG